GGGGAAUAUUGCGCAAUGGGCGAAAGCCUGACGCAGCAACGCCGCGUGCGGGAUGACGGCCUUCGGGUUGUAAACCGCUUUCAGCAGGGACGAAACUGACGGUACCUGCAGAAGAAGCACCGGCUAACUACGUGCCAGCAGCCGCGGUGAUACGUAGGGUGCGAGCGUUGUCCGGAAUUAUUGGGCGUAAAGAGCUCGUAGGCGGUCUGUCGCGUCGGAAGUGAAAACUCGGGGCUCAACCCCGAGCCUGCUUUCGAUACGGGCAGACUUGAGGAAUGUAGGGGAGAACGGAAUUCCUGGUGGAGCGGUGGAAUGCGCAGAUAUCAGGAGGAACACCAGUGGCGAAGGCGGUUCUCUGGACAUUAACUGACGCUGAGGAGCGAAAGCGUGGGGAGCAAAC
rnacentral:rRNA from 1 species